UACAGAGGGUGCGAGCGUUAAUCGGAAUUACUGGGCGUAAAGCGCACGUAGGUGGCGACGUAAGUCGGGUGUGAAAGCCCCCGGGCUCAACCUGGGAAUUGCAUUCGAGACUGCAUUGCUGGAGUACGGAAGAGGAAGGCGGAAUUCCCGGUGUAGCGGUGAAAUGCGUAGAUAUCGGGAGGAACAUCAGUGGCGAAGGCGGCCUUCUGGUCCAGUACUGACACUCAAGUGCGAAAGCGUGGGGAGCAAACAGG
rnacentral:rRNA from 1 species